CCCAGCCCCCGCGCUCCCUUUCCCCUCGCCGCCGCCGCGAAGAGCCAGACGCCUCGCGCCGCCCGCAGAGUAGGGGAUCCUGCUCGCUGCCUUCCCUGGAAACCUACCCAGGCGAUGGAGCAUGCGCAGGCGGCUCCUCCGCGGGCGAGCCCUCCGUGUGGUCCAUGGGGAGCGCUCCGGUUAUCCGGGUUUUAGGACGCGCUUUGAGGGACGUACGUGGAGACUGAGGAAAACCGGAGGGGAUUACUACGGGGACGAGGAAUGGAGGGGUCAGGAGGCGGGGCCGAGGAGAAGGGAGGAGGGGUCCUGGGAAAAUGGGCUGCGUUUCACAGGCCUAGAUGAAACACCUCCUCAAUGGGUGUUUUCCAAGCGGCUUCCCGCUCACUCUGGGUUCCCAGCUAUUUUCAUUCAUUCAAACGUUCCCUGGGCGCCUCCUUUAUGCUAAUCUCGGCGUUUGGUGCAGGAGCGCCAGAGAUGUCUGGGGUUCGGGCAAGUGACACGUCGGGGACUGUCUUCAUUCAUUACACCCCCCCAUGCUAAUGAGGAGGCCCUUCCAGAGCUCCUCAAGCGGAAAACUUUUGCAGUUGAGCUCUCUCGCCUUAGCGUUCUCCUUGGGUGUGAAAUGAGGUCAAGCCAAGGCCUCUAGCAAAGACACCCCUAAUGGCCACCUCGCAGACACACGCCAGAGCGCGGAGUAGUUCUCUCCAGAAGGGAAAACUGCCUUGGAAUUGAGAGCCACAUUCUCCCACCUCCGAGUCUGCCCAGAGGACCCGAUCAAAGCUCUUGCCGCUCGCGUGCUGCAUGGCCUCUCUAAGACCCCAUCGCAGCCACCACCGUGUGUGAGCCCAGGUGUGUGUUGAGACCACUACUGCACAGGGAACCGGGCCACCCGAGGGCCUGGCACAGCCGAGGACGCUGCCGGCUGCCCGAAUCGCGCUUCAGGCGGCCUGAUCCCGGAAGCCCCCGGGCAAACCUGGCCCCACCGGGCAUGGAACAGCAGGGUGAAGGGCCCGAAUCCCGCCCCCUCCUCCUACCUGCAGCCCCCCAUCUUUCCCCUCCUUUGCUCUUUCCUUUCCUAGAGAUUCCCAGAUCCAGCACUGCCUCCCGCAGGGAGCCCCAAAACCCGGAGAACUGGAAUUCGCCGCCCGAAACCUGUUGAAGGCGCUGCAGGAUUGGCGCGGCCCGCGCGAGCGGCACUGCGCAUGUACCCAAUGCGGGCAGUCCAGUCUCACGCUACACCUCCUUCCCACCGCCUUCCACUACUCGGCUCAGACACAACACGGCCGUGGGAAAUUUCCUAAACCUCGCGAGAACGUGCCCCUGUUGCCUAAGCUUUCGCCCCAAAUCUCGCGGAGCCAAGGCAGGACAGGUGUUUGCCUAGAC
rnacentral:lncRNA from 1 species